rnacentral:rRNA from 1 species
UACAGAGGGGGCAAGCGUUGCUCGGAAUCACUGGGCGGAAAGGGCGCGUAGGCGGGAUGGCAAGUCAGUCGUGAAAUCUCUCGGCUCAACCGAGAAACGUCGGCUGAUACUGCCGUUCUUGAGGGAUGCAGAGGAGACUGGAAUUCCCGGUGUAGCGGUGAAAUGUGUAGAGAUCGGGAGGAACACCGGUGGCGAAGGCGGGUCUCUGGGCAUCUCCUGACGCUGAGGCGCGAAAGCGUGGGGAGCAAACGGG